rnacentral:rRNA from 1 species
GAUAAACGCUGGCGGCGUGCAUAACACAUGCAAGUCGAACGAUGAAGAUUAAAAGAUUUCUUCGGAAUGAACUUAAUUGGAUUAGUGGCGGACGGGUGAGUAACGCGUGAGUAACCUGCCUUGUACAAGGGGAUAGCCGUUGGAAACGACGAAUAAUACCCUAUGACAUCAAAUAAUCGCAUGAUAAUUUGAUCAAAGAUUUAUCGGUAUAAGAUGGACUCGCGUCUGAUUAGCUAGUUGGUAGAGUAAAGGCCUACCAAGGCAACGAUCAGUAGCCGGCUUGAGAGAGUGUACGGCCACAUUGGGACUGAGACACGGCCCAGACUCCUACGGGAGGCAGCAGUGGGGAAUUUUGCACAAUGGGGGAAACCCUGAUGCAGCGACGCCGCGUGAUUUAGAAGGCCUUCGGGUUGUAAAAAUCUUUUGUAUGGGAAGAAAAUGACAGUACCAUACGAAUAAGGACCGGCUAAUUACGUG